GACGAACGCUGGCGGCGUGCCUAACACAUGCAAGUCGAACGAGGUCCAUCCUUCGGGAGAAGACCUAGUGGCGAACGGGUGAGUAACACGUGAGAAACCUGCCCCGAAGACCGGGAUAACCCUCCGAAAGGAGAGCUAAUACCGGAUGCCCCCACCGAGCCGCAUGGCUUGGUGAGGAAAUGGAUUCCGCUUCGGGAGGGUCUCGCGGCCUAUCAGCUAGUUGGUGGGGUAACGGCCCACCAAGGCAUCGACGGGUAGCUGGUCUGAGAGGACGAUCAGCCACACUGGGACUGAGACACGGCCCAGACUCCUACGGGAGGCAGCAGUGGGGGAAUCUUGCGCAAUGGGCGAAAGCCUGACGCAGCAACGCCGCGUGGGGGAUGAAGGCUCUCGGGUUGUAAACCCUUUCAGCAGGGACGAAAUCAGACGGUACCUGCAGAGGAAGCUCCGGCUAACUACGUGCCAGCAGCCGCGGUAA
rnacentral:rRNA from 1 species